UUAAGUUGUUAUAUCUCACUGAAAAAUUACUCUUUAGGUGAUUAUGUCUUAUUUUAAGUGUGAUGAGAUAUUUAGACUAGAAAUGAGAAAACAUAUUUGGUAAGAUUUCGAUUUUUUGCAUGUAUGGAUCAACUUUGCUAAAUUAUGUAGACUAGUAAGACAAUUUCUGGUUGUCUUUUACAUAAGUUAUUGUUAGUGCCUAACACAACUGUCGAUUUCCAAAUUGAGAAGCUCAGUGGGCAGGACCCAGCAUUUUGUACAUAUAUCAAAUGUUUUUUGUUUUUUUUUUUCUAAUCGUUUACAUCUUGUAUCUUUGAUACUGCUUAGAUCAGUUCAGGGUUUCUCGAGGUUGUGAAUGAAACGCUUACCUGUUACCAAUGUUUUUACAUCGUAGGUCAGGUCAUUUCUCUCUCUCUUUUUUUUUUUUCUUUGGUAAUUGUGAAGGUCUGCUUAAGCAACAUAAACAAAGUCAGGUACUGAACUAUUUUGUAAUUGUACAGCAUUAUGCCAGUUAAUUAUCAGGAUCACCGGCAUCACUCGAGCUUUAUUUUUUUCAAGCCAAAUGUCUUUUACAACCCAGUGUUUAAGGGAUACACUUUUUUUUUUUUUUUUUUUGGUUUUUAUGCCAAUGAAGCAAAGC